UUGGAAUAGUCACUGCUGGGUGGUCUUGGCCUGAUAGUUCAUGUACCCUAAGAUUAGCAGAGAGAACAGGUUUAGGGCUGGAUGCUGGAGGGUUCCAGGAGCUCAGAGGGAAUGGUUCAGACAGCAGUGAAUGUCAUACCUAUGAGGCUCUGGGGCAAAUGCUGGCUUCUCUAGGCAAGAAACCCCUAGCACUGGCUUGCUAACAUUCGACAGAAAGUGACUGAAGGUCCCAUCUGCUGGGGACAUGUAACAAGGAUGGCCCACCUGCUGGUGACAGCAUGGGAAGGUGUCACUUUCACGAGUGAGGCAUCUGGAUGUCAGCUUUGAGAUCACCAAGGAGACUGUUCACAUUAUCCUGGGCAUGCCUGACCCAGUCAGAGGAGCUUAUAACAGAAGGCCAGAGUGACCUGACUUGGAAGGUCAUGUGACCCAGGUUCAUGUUACAAACUGAGUUCCAGAGCCUGGCUCAUGGAGAUGCUGAGGUCCUGGAAGCUCUGGGCCUAGGGAGAUGUCUGUGGAAGAUGUUACUUUCAGAACUGCCCACAAUAACUUGGACAACUUGGGCACCCAGUCCCUCACAUGGUAAGUAGAAGGCUCGAAGAGUCAUUGCCUUAACCCUUCCGGCACCCAGAAUCCCUGGAACAGCAAGACAGAUUGGCCCCCAAGAUGGAAACAGUUGUUCUCUCUGAUGGAGAGGUAAGCCCCUGGAUCAGGUCACCUUGUAGGGAACAGAUCAGUCCCCUCAGGUGGUCACUGCAAUUGGCAGAUUAUCAGUGUGUCAGACGACUCUGUAGGACAGGAGCUGAGAGAAGGAUCAACAUGACCAUACCUAGAGCAGGUCUGCUUCCGUGUAUACCCACCUAGAGCAGGUCUGCUUCUGUGUAUACCCACCUAGAGCAGGUGUGCUUCCGUGUAUACCCACCUAGAGCAGGUCUACUUCUGUGUAUACCCACCUAGAGCAGGUGUGCUUCCAUGUAUACCCACCUAGAGCAGGUCUGCUUCUGUGUAUACCCACCUAGAGCAGGUCUGCUUCCGUGUAUACCCACCUAGAGCAGGUCUGCUUCCGUGUAUACCCACCUAGAGCAGGUCUGCUUUCGAGUAUACCCCUUCGCUUGGACCAAGGUCUGCUCUGCUUAACCUGAAGCUCUCCUUGAUGCAAACCUGGGAUCCCUGCAUCUUCUUACUUGUUCUUUUCUUCCCAACUCACUAAAUCUCCCUUUUCUACUUUUGUCAUUACACCUCUCCUGAACGGAUGGAUGAGGCUGGUGGCUGAGCCCAGACUGGUGGGGCCAUUAGAGUCUGGCCUUCUGCCUUAACACUCCAGUUACAAUAUUGACAUUUUAACACAUACUUUCCUUCAACAAUCCAUUUGUAUGUGUGUGUGAGUGUAUGUGUGUGUGUGUGUGUGUGUGUGUGUGU
rnacentral:lncRNA from 1 species